CUUGGCCAUCAAAAUAUAAAAGGCGCCAUCAAAAAUAUUCAUAAAGUUGAUUGUGAAUUGUGUUUAUUUUUUGAAAAACUUAAAGGACAUAUAUGCACUGUUUGGCCCCCGUGUACCUGAACGACCCCACACGUGGGGCACACCUUAGGUAAACACCGUGUAUACGAAUCCGGUAGCUGGAUCCAUUCUUCUCGAAUGUUCCUGUCAUUCAGUCAUUUAGAGGACUGGGCGUGACAGAUGCGAUAAUUGUUACGUGGAAAGUGAAAGGAUUGCUGGAGUAGAAAAUACUUUUUUCGUCGAUCUCAACAAGAAAUGACUCUGUAUAUCUAAUUUCCGAACGAAAAGACGACCAUUUUGAAGGGGCGUGGCCGGACCCCACUCCUGUUUCAUUGGCAUCAAGGCGGAGUAAUCGUAUCAUGAUAUCUUGGAUUGUUUAAGCCUGUAAUCCCUACCAGUCCAGUUGUUGGCCUAUUGGACAGGAAAAUGAACGGAGAAGUUCCCAAUCAGGAGAGGAACCGAGUGAAGCUAUGUGGGCUACAGGCUAUAGGCUGUAGCCUAUAUUUAGCUCGCCUGUUUCGAACUGAACAGAAUCUAAAGAGCGGCAAAUGCAAGUGGGGGAAUGUUAUGACCUCUGGAAUCCGUAUAAUGAAUUAAUUUAAGUACGUAAUAAAUGAGGCAAUUGGACGUUUUCCAAACCAUGAAACAUAGUUGGUUCUACUAGGAGGGGGGAAGGGAGAUUUAAUUGGUUAAUUAUCAUUCCAGAUCACCAUUCCCAUCUUUCAUAUUUGAAAAAGAACUAAAAUAAUAACAGAAGAAUAUAUAAUGAUGAAAUUGUUGUAAGCACAAUCGUGUUGUUUGUUGUUCAUUCAAUUAUUAUCCACCCCUCAGAAAUUCAGCGUUUAUUACCCCCCUACUAAUUCAGCCUUCAUUGCCCCUUCCAGAAAUUCAGCUUUUAAUACCCCCCCUCCCAAGAAGUUUCAGCUUUUAUUACCCCCCACU